rnacentral:tRNA from 1 species
GCCGCCUUAGCUCAGUUGGUUAGAGCACCAGAUUGUGGAUCUGGGGGUCUCCCGUUCAAGUCGGGAAGGCGGUA